ensembl:lncRNA LINC00882 long intergenic non-protein coding RNA 882
AGGCUCGGCGUUGGCCUCCGCGGCCCGUGCGAGUGCGCCCUUCUCGGGUCCCCUAGGUCGCGGGGCAGCCGGGGCGGAAGGGGCUUGUUCAUUAUUUUGAGAGUUUGUUGUGAACGUCAUAACCUUUCGUCCUUAAAUAUUGCCGAUACUUGACCUACGCAAGAGACAAUGUCAUGUGAUUCAGCCUAAUAUCUCAGCCCAGCACCAUGUGGAAGAAGCCAAGGCUUGGGACUUGCACCCUCUGAAGAAAUGGCUCGAGUGGAGGAUGCAGCAUUCAAGGUUCUAUCUUGGAAGCAGAGACUGUGCCCUCACCAGAUGCUGAACCUGCUGAGCACCCUGAUCUUCCACUUCACCUUCAUCAGAACUACUGGGGCUGUGGCUGAGAUGUCACAUGGCAGAUAGGAUCACAAAUUUCUGUUGUAUCUGGAUGGAGAUCAGCAGGAGGAUCUAUGGGUGAGAAGAAGCACAGUUACAGAUGGAUUCUAGAGCCUGCUUGCUGACACAGGCUUGCAACUGCGGACUUUAUAAGCUUAGUUUUUAAUCUGCUAUCAGCUAGCAUAAUACCAUAAAUGCAUAAGAAACUAAGUAUUCAGUCUUACGAGAAAUGCUAUCUUGACCUGACCCUUUCUCCAAAUAAAUUGACAAAAUAUCUCAUCGUCUAGGAUGCCAGACAGAAAUACCAGUUGCAAUGUUUUGUUGCAUAAAGUUUAUCCUAAUUUAAAUUAGUGGCAUAUAAAGUCAUCAUCUUGCUUGAACAAACAUCUUAUUAAAUUGAGCAUGUCUUUUAUCCCAUGAAAUGAAAUUAAUUUUGAGAUAGUUAUUUUUCAGUUGGAAAUUUAUUGAGUUGAUAGAAAACAAGUUAUAUAGUCUUCCAAAGAAUAUGUUACAUCCAUUUGCAUUUUGUUUUUCUUCAGCAAUGUUUGGUUUUUAGAAAAUCUUACAAGUUAAAUAUACUAAUGUAGAAAUUGAAAGAAAAUAAUCAGAGAUAGAGCAAUAAAUUUGCAAAUAAAGAUUAUUCUUAAAACAAA